ACGUUCAGUGGUCGUCCAGCCUUCACGGGGUGGGUGCCGCGCUCGGCCCAGGAACACUCUCUUCUAUAGAGGUGUGAUUGACACGUGACAGGAUGCGUGAGCAGGUGAUGAUGAUGGUGGUGGUCAUGGUGAUGGCUGGGGGCGUCUUAGCGACGCUGAAGCCACCGGAGAGGUCUUACAAGAUCCUGAUGCUGUUGAUGGCAUCUUCGCCCAGCCAUCGCAACGUCUUCGUGCCCAUAGCCGAGGCUCUGGCGGACCGGGGUCACCAGGUCGAGAUUCUCUCCAGUCUCCCGGACUUCUCUACGUCAAGAAGAAUUAUUCAACAUUUUUCAGGAAUCAAUUUCAUGGACAUUGAACAUAUUAACAUGUUUCAAGUCCUACAAAACGAAAUUGAUGAAUUCGAGAUUUUUGUAAAUGUUACAAUAUCAAUAGUUGAUGAGGUGUACAAGUCUCCGGCUGUGCAGGAGCUCUACAGCAGGAGGAAGACCUUUGACCUGUUCGUCACUGAUCACUUGUGUAAUGAGAUGUCGCACCCGUUCCUCCACGAGAUGCCCUUCAUCACCGUUGCCGCGCCAGGCAUGGACCCAAUGCAGAGUGCCAUGUUGGGCAACGUCCAGAACCCAGCCUUCACACCCUCGCUGUUGGCCACAAUCCCUCCCCCGUGGAACGUGUACCAACGUCUCGCUAACACGGCGGCCCACCUGCUCUUCCCUUUCUUUUAUAAUCAUUGGUAUUAUCUUCCCAAACUUCAAAAUAAGAUUUCAUCCCUGUUCCCAGACCUGCCUCCGCUCAAGGAGUUGACGAGGAAUCAGAGCUUGACGCUGUUAAAUACCCACUUUAGUUUGGACAUGCCAUACCCUCUCCUGCCCUCCCAGGUGGAGGUGGGCGCCCUACACUGUCGACCAGGCAACCCGCUGCCACAGGAUUUAGAUUCGUGGAUGGAGGGUGCCGGGGAGGCUGGCGUCGUGUACUUCAGCUUGGGUUCCAUUACCAAGGGCACCAAAAUGCCCGCGAAGUACCGCGAUCUCUUCAUCCAGGCCUUCAGCAGACUUGACCAGCGAGUUAUCUGGAAGUACGAAGGCGCCCUUCCUGGACUGUCAGACAAUGUUCUGAUAAAGCCCUGGAUGCCUCAACAGGAUAUUUUAAGUGAUCCUCGUGUCAAGUUGUUUAUGAGCCACGGAGGUCUUCUGGGCACCCAGGAGGCCAUCUACCAUGCUAAGCCCAUCCUGGCCUUACCCAUCCACGGGGACCAGCCCAGGAAUGCCCAAAAUAUUGCCAACAAGGGUAUUGGCUUGUACCUGAACUGGGAUGAACUAUCAGCUGAUCUUAUCGUUUACACCAUUCAGGAAAUCAUUAAUAACUCAAGGUACAAGAGGAAGAUAGAAAACAUGUCGAGAGCGCUGAAGGACCAGGUGGAGACGCCACAAGAUCUGGCGGUGUACUGGACGGAGUAUGUCAUCCGACACAAGGGGGCGCCCCACCUGAGGUCUCCAGCUGCCAGUCUCUCUUGGGUGGAGUUCCUCAUGCUCGAUGUCGUCUGUGGUCUCCUCCUGGCGGCCGUCACGACAGUCCUCGUCCUUCGGAAGAUUGCUCUGGUCGUCGUCACCGUCGCGUUCACAGGGAGGACAAAGACAAAUACACUGAAGUAAUGGAUCUUUUCAUUAUUAGUUAUAAGUUACUGGUGAGUUGUCGUGGGUGAGUUUAUCGAGUGCUUGCUGAAUUCUACCCCCUUGUGUUUUGGGGUAGAAUUCAUCAAGCACUCGCGCACAGCCGUUUACGGAGCCUGUAUUUCCAUAAACAUGUUGGCGUAGUUUACAUAUAUUUAACAGUUUGUGAGCUUGGAAACUUUACAACUAAAACUAUUAUUGUUAUAACAACCUCGUAGUGCUUCGUAUUUUAGAGAAUUUGUUGAAUUCGUAUAUAUGAAUCUAUUAUGUUUAUUCCGUCCCUACGGAACCAUCAGUGGAUUAAACAAUUUAUAUAAAUUACAUAUGUUUAGAUUCAGGAGAGAUCUGGGUAAAUACUGGUUCGGAAACAUGGUUGUUGAUUUAUGGAACAAAUUAGCGUAACAUGAUAGACAAUGUGGGAUCACUGGCUUGUUUCAAGCGUAGGUUAGACAUGAAUAAGUUUGGGGGGAUGUAAGUAGGAGCUGUGUUGUUUGGGCCGAGAAAAGUUGUCUGUAGUUAUCUAUUUUUUGUUCUUAAGGCCAUGCCUGAUGCAGUUAUGCUUGCCAUUACGACGAAGCCAGACAUGAAGUACACUUUGUGUAGGAAUUUCUGCCUCACUGCCUCAGCACUUGUGCUUGCAGGCUAUAAUUAAUGUACGUCUUGUGUGUUUGGUUGGCUCUUCCUCUCCCAGUUGGAACAUAGAAGAUGUUCCAACUUCUUGUACAGGUGGAACAUAGAAGAUGUUCCAACUUCUUGUACAACUUCUUGUACAGGUGGAACAUAGAAGAUGUUCCAACGUCUUGUACAACUUCUUGUACAGGUGGAACAUAGAAGAUGUUCCAACUUCUUGUACAACUUCUUGUACAGGUGGAACAUAGAAGAUGUUCCAACUUCUUGUACAACUUCUUGUACAGGUGGAACAUAGAAGAUGUUCCAACUGGGAGAGGAAGAGUGGGUCUAUUGGUCCAUGUGACACUUUACCUCACUCUCGGUUAUACGUUCAGUUGCUCCAGCUAAAUUGUAUUCACUUCUACUCUGCCUUUCGAAAUGUUGACAGGAUCAACGAAAUGCACCGUCGGGUUAUAAUGAAACUGUGAAAUGAA
rnacentral:misc_RNA from 1 species